AGAGUUUGAUCAUGGCUCAGGAUGAACGCUGGCGGCGUGCCUAACACAUGCAAGUCGAACGUGAAGGUUAGGAUGAUGACUUCGGUUUGAAUCUUAAUUGGAAAGUGGCGAACGGGUGAGUAACACGUAGGUAAUCUGCCUCGAAGUGGGGGAUAACCAUUGGAAACGAUGGCUAAUACCGCAUGGUCCUGCUGAUAUUGGAAUAUCGGCAGGUAAAGCUCUGGCGCUUCGAGAGGAGCCUGCGUCCGAUUAGCUAGUUGGCAGGGUAAUGGCCUACCAAGGCGACGAUCGGUAGCUGGUCUGAGAGGACGAUCAGCCACACGGGGACUGAGACACGGCCCCGACUCCUACGGGGGGCAGCAGUGAGGAAUAUUGCACAAUGGGGGCAACCCUGAUGCAGCAACGCCGCGUGGAGGAUGAAGGCCUUUGGGUCGUAAACUCCUUUUUUGGGGGAAGAGCAAGGACGGUACCCCAAGAAUAAGUCACGGCUAACUACGUGCCAGCAGCCGCGGUAAUACGUAGGUGGCGAGCGUUAUCCGGAAUUACUGGGCGUAAAGGGCACGCAGGCGGCCAACCAAGUCUGACGUGAAAGCUCCUGGCUUAACUGGGAGAGGUCGUUGGAAACUGAUUGGCUUGAGGCAAUGAGAGGGGUACGGAAUUCCAGGUGUAGUGGUGGAAUGCGUAGAUAUCUGGAGGAACAUCAGUGGCGAAAGCGGUACCCUGGCAUUGGCCUGACGCUCAUGUGCGAAAGCGUGGGGAGCGAACGGGAUUAGAUACCCCGGUAGUCCACGCUGUAAACGAUGAAUACUA
rnacentral:rRNA from 1 species